rnacentral:rRNA from 1 species
UACGUAGGGUGCAAGCGUUGUCCGGAAUUAUUGGGCGUAAAGAGCUCGUAGGCGGUUCGUCGCGUCUGCUGUGAAAGCCCGGGGCUUAACUCCGGGUCUGCAGUGGGUACGGGCAGGCUAGAGUGUGGUAGGGGAGACUGGAAUUCCUGGUGUAGCGGUGAAAUGCGCAGAUAUCAGGAGGGACACCGAUGGCGAAGGCAGGUCUCUGGGCCAUAACUGACGCUGAGAAGCGAAAGCAUGGGGAGCGAACAGG